AUGUGGGAAGAAAGUGGUAGCUCACCUAUGCCAUGGAGCAUAAAAAAUAGUAGGAGAUCUUCCUUUCCCAUAUGUUGUUACAGAAGCAUAUAUGAUCCAAGCAGGACAUAUUUGCUUGGCAUAUCCACUUGUGUCAUCACUCUUGCUAGCAUAGGACUGGAUGCUGAAGAGAAUAACCAUGAUAGAUCACACAGAACAAUCAUUCCCAAGAGAAUGACAUCUUCUGGGCUGCUAAGAGGAUCAUGUCAGGACCGCAGCCGUCACUCGCCUCGGGGGAACCCUCUCCUCACAGGCCACCGCCUUGGCCCAAUCCGUCACAAUAUGCAAGAGCAAGAAGCGAAAACAGAACAAAUCAGGAACUCUAGCCUAACGCACAUGCCCGCAAUAUCCGAUUUUUCCAAGCCGGAAUCUCCAUGUCCCAGUACCUUCUUGAGCUCGCGGAUGACCUGCUCCCUCAUUUCCUCCUCCACGGGUGUUGGGAUGGUCCCCUCGUCCGUCAAGAACGGCAUCAUCCCCAAGAAAAGGAAAUCACGAGAUUACUCAGAGAUAACCGGGGACAACAGAGAAACCAGAGGAAUUCACGGACGACGGGGGGCUCACCUGGACGAGGGACUGGGUCCUUCCCUCCUGGCGCUAAAGCAGAAGGGGUGUCGUGGGCGGCGAGAGGGGGCUGACGGAGAGGACGCGCGCCAGCGGCAGAAGCAGGGAGGGGAAAUCGCGGGCGCGGGCGUGGACGCGAGAGCGAGGCGGCGACGGACGGGGAGGAUGGUUUCAGACGGUGGCGGGCGGGGAGGAUGGCCGGUGGGCGGGGAGGGUGGUCGACGGCGACGUGAGGAGAGGAGGCAGGGUGGCGGCGUGGGGGACGGGCGGAAGAGAGAGAGGAGUCGGGGCGAGGGGCGAAGGCUGAGGAGUGGGAAAACAGAGAUGCGGCUAGGGUUCCACCACGGACGACUGCCUUUUAUACGUAAACGCUCCAUCUCGAUCGGAUGGUCCGGAUCGCUCCAUCUCGCGAUCCGACGGCCAGGACGCGUCAGGGAGCUCGAUCGGACGGUCCACAAUCCAAACGAACGGGAGAGCUCCAUUUCGGUUCAGACUCUAACAAGGGGAUUAACUCUCUCCCGGGCGAGACACGACGGCCGGCGAGACCCGCGCCGCCGCGGCCAGAGAGAGUCGGGGAUGUUCGGGUUGCAGGCGAGAGCCGCCGCGGCUCCGUGGGCGGUGGGGCGGACGUGCCCGGACGCGCGCCUCUACGAUGACGACGCCGCCAUCCCGGCGCUCCUCGACUCACCUCUUCGACGCCGACGCGCUCAAGCGCCUCCUCGUCGUCAUACCGCACGGCGUCGACGUCGCCCCAAUCUCCCGGCAGGUGGUCAAAGAACGUGGCGGCGCAGUCGUCUGCCUCCACUCCCUGCGCCGUCGCUGGAGGUGAAGAAGCUACUCUACCUCUACCAGAGUCGCCGGAUUGCUAGCAAGAAAGGCAAAAUGGGGCCUGGAAGUUGGGCUCGCUCGCUCUCCGCUCCACCGCCCGCCAUCAGUUCGACGAAAUGCCGCCUACCAUCCUCCUUUGGUGCCUCUGUACACGCCGGUUUAAGAGGUAUCAUAAUUGGCGGUGACAGGUCGUUAUUCUUAUCUGAAUUUGACCCUUCAUCCUUUCAACCAUAUAACUGCCCCCAAUUGUAG
rnacentral:rRNA from 1 species